UUUGUUGUAGUUUAGUUGGUUAGAAUACUUGACUCUCACCCGAGAGACCCGAUUUCAAGUCUCGACAACACAA
rnacentral:tRNA from 1 species